rnacentral:rRNA from 1 species
CAAGCCUGAUGCAGCGACGCCGCGUGAGGGAUGACGGCCUUCGGGUUGUAAACCUCUUUCAGUAGGGAAGAAGCGUAAGUGACGGUACCUGCAGAAGAAGCGCCGGCUAACUACGUGCCAGCAGCCGCGGUAAUACGUAGGGCGCAAGCGUUAUCCGGAAUUAUUGGGCGUAAAGAGCUCGUAGGCGGUUUGUCGCGUCUGCCGUGAAAGUCCGGGGCUCAACUCCGGAUCUGCGGUGGGUACGGGCAGACUACAGUGAUGUAGGGNAGACUGGAAUUCCUGGUGUAGCGGUGAAAUGCGCGAUAUCAAGAGGCAACACCCCAUGGGCAACGCAGGUCUCUUGGGCCAUUACUCUGCCCCUAAGGAGCAAAAGCUGGGGGAGCAAACAGGAUUAAAUACCCGGGUAGUCCAUGCCGUAAACGUUGGGCACUAGGUGUGGGGGACAUUCCACGUUUUCCGCGCCGUAGCUAACGCAUUAAGUGCCCCGCCUGGGGAGUACGGCCGC